GAGGAAGGGAUGUAGCUCUCCCCACUUAGAACCAAGCGUCUCCUGCACCAAUAAUGUGAGAACUCGGAAGAAAGAGGUGCUGAGGAUGGAACCCAGUGCCCGUGCACGCCAGGCUCUGCCACUGCCUUACAAACUCUGUCCAGCCAACCCAACAAUGAUGCUAUUUCUUUACAUCUGAGGAAGCCAGCAAUUAGCCUGAGUAGAUCCACGUAGAUGCUGCCAGUUUACUCUGGAAGUCAUUACAUAUGGAGAAAGAGGCAGACAAAAAGAGAAAAGAGCAACAAUCAGGAAGAGAGAGAGAGAGGGGGGGAGAGUUCCUUCACAUUUCAUAGUGUGGCUGCAUCAUAAUUUAUUUAAAAUUUUCUCCUGUCUCAGAAUACCUUCCUGUAUAACAAGAACAGAUCCCAGCUACUCAGGACCCUGAGGCAGAAGAAUGGAAAGGUGAUUUCUACCGACAGAAAAAGUGUGUAGUAUGGUAAAAAAAAAAAUGGUCUUUUUCCCAGCUCCCUGCCACAGAGCUCCUAAAACCCUUAAAAUUUCCUGAGUGGCAUGAAUGCCUUUUGUUUUAAUGAGCCCCUUUUUGAUCAUACCUGAGUCGGUGCUGAGUAACUCCUUCCCACCCCCACUGAAGAGCCUCAGAUGGGCCAGGUCACUGGAAGGAACAAGUGACUAUACCAUUAUUUCCUGAAAAUAAGACUGGGUCUUAUAUUAAUUUUUGCUCCAAAAGACACAAUAGAGCUUAUUUUCAGGGGAUGUCUUAUUUUUUCAUGUACAGCA
rnacentral:lncRNA from 1 species